CCUACGGGAGGCUGCAGUGGGGAAUAUUGCACAAUGGGCGCAAGCCUGAUGCAGCCAUGCCGCGUGUGUGAAGAAGGCCUUCGGGUUGUAAAGCACUUUCAGCGGGGAGGAAGGCGUUAAGGUUAAUAACCUUGGCGAUUGACGUUACCCGCAGAAGAAGCACCGGCUAACUCCGUGCCAGCAGCCGCGGUAAUACGGAGGGUGCAAGCGUUAAUCGGAAUUACUGGGCGUAAAGCGCACGCAGGCGGUCUGUCAAGUCGGAUGUGAAAUCCCCGGGCCCAACCUGGGAACUGCAUUCGAAACUGGCAGGCUAGAGUCUUGUAGAGGGGGGUAGAAUUCCAGGUGUAGCGGUGAAAUGCGUAGAGAUCUGGAGGAAUACCGGUGGCGAAGGCGGCCCCCUGGACAAAGACUGACGCUCAGGUGCGAAAGCGUGGGGAGCAAACAGGAUUAGAUACCCCAGUAGUC
rnacentral:rRNA from 1 species